CCUACGGGAGGCAGCAGUGGGGGAUAUUGCACAAUGGGGGAAACCCUGAUGCAGCGACGCCGCGUGUGGGAAGACGGUCCUCUGGAUUGUAAACCACUGUCCCCAGGGACGAAGAUGACGGUACCUGGGGAGGAAGCUCCGGCUAACUACGUGCCAGCAGCCGCGGUAAUACGUAGGGAGCGAGCGUUGUCCGGAAUUACUGGGUGUAAAGGGAGCGUAGGCGGGACUGCAAGUUGGGUGUCAAAUCUACCGGCUCAACCGGUAGCCGCACUCAAAACUGCAGUUCUUGAGUGAAGUAGAGGCAGGCGGAAUUCCUAGUGUAGCGGUGAAAUGCGUAGAUAUUAGGAGGAACACCAGUGGCGAAGGCGGCCUGCUGGGCUUUUACUGACGCUGAGGCUCGAAAGUGUGGGGAGCGAACAGGAUUAGAUACCCCAGUAGUC
rnacentral:rRNA from 1 species